AGAUGUUGAAGUUUUUGCAGGCACAGGUAGAGGAACAGCAUGAAAGUGCCACGCUCAGCCUUGCAAACAGUGUUGUAAAAACCUUCAGGGAGUUGGGGGUUUUCAAAGAGGAGUCUGGAGAAAAGGGGCCCUUGCUGAAACUCAGUGAAACAUUUCAGCAACCCGAUAAUUUACUGAAGCUCCAGCAGUACAUUCAACAAUUCUCCUGUUAAAAGCACAAGUGGUG